GGGAUUACCUCAGUAACGGCGAGUGAAGCGGUAACAGCUCAAAUUUGAAAGCUGGCUCUUUAAGGGUCCGCGUUGUAAUUUGUAGAAGAUGCUUCGGGUGUGGCCCCGGUCUAAGUUCCUUGGAACAGGACGUCAUAGAGGGUGAGAAUCCCGUAUGUGACUGGGUGCCUUCGCUCAUGUGAAGCUCUUUCGACGAGUCGAGUUGUUUGGGAAUGCAGCUCAAAAUGGGUGGUAAAUUUCAUCUAAAGCUAAAUAUUGGCCAGAGACCGAUAGCGCACAAGUAGAGUGAUCGAAAGAUGAAAAGCACUUUGGAAAGAGAGUUAAACAGUACGUGAAAUUGUUGAAAGGGAAGCGCUUGCAACCAGACUUGCGCGCUGAUGAUCAUCCGGGCUUCUGCCCGGUGCACUCGUCUGCGCUCAGGCCAGCAUCGGUUUCGGUGGUGGGAUAAAGGCCUUGGGAAUGUAGCUCCUCUCGGGGAGUGUUAUAGCCCUC
rnacentral:rRNA from 1 species